AAGAGGACCGUAUGAAGCCAGCAGUGUCAGAAAGAACCCUUUGGUCACUACUGACUUGCACUCGACACAGAGAAAAGAAGAAACAAGUGGUUCACUCAACAGCCCCCCAAAACAGAAAGGAUCAGAGACGGACGAAAAGACAAAGCCUGUCUGUGUGUCUGACUAUGAUGAGAUGAAGGGUACCAAAAGAAGCAGGCCGAUUUCUCCAUUUAGGCCAAACAAGAAGUGGAAG